UCUGGUGAAUAUGACGGAGAGGUCACACCCGUUCCCAUUCCGAACACGGCAGUUAAGCUCUCCAGUGCCGAUGAUACUUGGACGGAAGCGUCCCGGGAAAGUAGGUCUUCGCCAGAU
rnacentral:rRNA from 1 species